AUUGAACGCUGGCGGCAUGCUUUACACAUGCAAGUCGGACGAGUGGCGAACGGGUGAGUAACGCAUCGGAACGUACCGAGUAAUGGGGGAUAACUGUCCGAAAGGACAGCUAAUACCGCAUAUUAUUCGAGCGGCCGAUGUCGGAUUAGCUGGUUGGCGGGGUAAAGGCCCACGAGGGCGACGAUUAGUAGCGGGUAUGAGAGGAUGAGACGCCAAACUGGGACUGAGACACGGCCCAGCCUCCUACGGUAGGCAGCAGUGGGGAAUUUUGGACAAGGGGCGGAACCCUGAUCCAGCCAGGCCGCGUGUCUGAAGAAGGCCUUCGGGUUGUAAAGGACUUUUGUCAGUGAAGCGGUACCUGAAGAAUAAGCACCGGCUAACUACGUGCCAGCAGCCGCGGUAAUUC
rnacentral:rRNA from 1 species